GAUGAACGCUGGCGGCGUGCUUAACACAUGCAAGUCGAACGGUAAAGGCGGAGCUUGCUCUGCUGGAUCAGUGGCGAACGGGUGAGUAACACGUGAGCAAUCUGCCCCUGACUCUGGGAUAAGCGCUGGAAACGGCGUCUAAUACUGGAUACGAGCUGCGAAGGCAUCUUCAGCAGCUGGAAAGAAUUUCGGUCAGGGAUGAGCUCGCGGCCUAUCAGCUUGUUGGUGAGGUAAUGGCUCACCAAGGCGUCGACGGGUAGCCGGCCUGAGAGGGUGACCGGCCACACUGGGACUGAGACACGGCCCAGACUCCUACGGGAGGCAGCAGUGGGGAAUAUUGCACAAUGGGCGAAAGCCUGAUGCAGCAACGCCGCGUGAGGGACGACGGCCUUCGGGUUGUAAACCUCUUUUAGCAGGGAAGAAGCGAAAGUGACGGUACCUGCAGAAAAAGCGCCGGCUAACUACGUG
rnacentral:rRNA from 1 species